rnacentral:lncRNA from 1 species
AUGCCACAUGCUAUUUAUCUAGACAAAGAUCGUAACUCUGCCAGCAGAAAUGAAAACUCUAUUGUUUCCAGAGACCAAGAUGAAAGCUUUCUGUGGGAAAUUUUACUCUCUAAUUACAGAUGUGCCUGCUUCCCCUUUGCCUUCUGCCAUGAUUUUAAGUUUCCUGAGGCCUCCCAGCCAUGCUUCCUGUACAGCCUGUUGAACUGUGAGUCAAUUAAACCUCUUUUCUUCAUAAAUUACCUAGUCUCAGGUAGUACUUCAUAGCAGUGUGAGAAUGAACUAAUAGCAAGGAAAACCUAAAAUAUAGGUGUGUUUGGCAUUUCAGUCCAGCUACUUCUAAGUGGAAACUUUCUGACUCAUCUGAAAUAAUUCUAGUAUGGACUUAAUAGUGGAGCUUGGAUAUAAUAUUAAGUGGGUAUGUAGGUAUGUAUAUGUAUAUGUGUGUGUGUAUAUAUAUAUAAUUAUGUCUUUCAAAUAUAGUUAUUUCUCUCUCACAAAAUUUUCAUUCAUAAUUAUGUAUUCAUUUGGCUUACAUUAUAAAUGUGUCUGUAUGUGCUGUGUGCACACACUGGCAGAAUAGCAGUGUUGAGGUUCAAGAAAGCCCUAUUUUUGGAAAGUCUGUAUGAGAUAAGCAAUCGGUCUCAGAAAACCUAUAAUUAGGAGAAAAUAGAUAAUUCUCCCGUCAAAAAUGGGUUGAACUGAAUAAGAAUGAGAGAAAAUGCAUUAGCGUUUAACUAAUAUCUUUGCUGUUUAAACUUGAGUAAAUCAAUCUAUAGCAAGAAUUAAUCUAAAAAUAAUGUUUCUUGGCUAAAAUUAGGAAAAGAAACACAUUAUUAUUAACUUGUGGUCACAACUCUCCUUUUAGGCAGCGCUGACCCUAUAUCAGCCCCUUUGUUCUCAAGCAGAAAUCUCAGUACUUUUUGUUGUUACACAUUUUAGCCAUCUGCUUUGUCUUUCAAGUCAUCUUAAGCUCUACGACUGGGCUAAGCAAAAUGUCCAAACACCAGCAGAACUGAUAUCACCAGGAAGUGGUUAGAAGUGCACAAUCUGAGGCCCCAUUUCAGACCCAUGACCCAGAAACUGUAUUUUCUUAAGCUCCAGAGCAUUUGCAGGCAUCUGAAUAUUUGAGAAACACUGUCUUGAGAGAAUACAUGUUCUCUUUCUAUUUUCUGCAUUUGUAGCCUCCUUCUUGGCUUGACAACAGGGACUAAUAUUUUAACUCAGCCAUACCUAAGGUUUUGAGGAGAUACAUGUCAGCUGCAGGAGAAUCCCUUCAGGAAAACCAACCCAUUGGUAUUUUCUGAUUUCCUCCCUGUGCUCCGCCCCUUAGGUCCCUCCAGCAAGCCCAGAGCACAUCACUUCCUGUGAGUUAUAGGCACAUACGUAGUGUGGCAUUGAAUUUUUAUUUCCUUCAGUUCUCUUCCUGCUUUCUAUGUGUUGCAUAAGAAAAGGUUGAAAGUGGUUACAGUACACUCUGCUUUCUUCUUAAAUUAUAAAAAUAUUUGCCACUUUUUGCCUUUAUUGUUAUGAUAAUUC